GUCCAUUAAAUGUUAGUUGGUGAGUCAUUCACCAAGUGUAUUUGAGGACUGUGCCAGGUCUCAGCUUCCUGACCAGUAGAAUGAGGAUAAUAAACCUUUCCUACAGAAGGUCCGUGAAUACCUCAACUAUAAUGCGUGCCGGCGGCCUGAGAACACACAUCUGUCAACCUUCACAUCAGAGAACAAAAGCUUGGGUUUGACAUGAGAAGGACAGCAAAAGAGCAGCCCUGACCUGAUUGCCACGUGGUGUUCCAAAGCAUGCAGAGAUUCGGCCUGGAAGAUAUGCACAAUACUUGAAAGAAGUCUUUUAUCCAGGCAAGAUGGGAUAAAC
rnacentral:lncRNA from 1 species